GGAUUGUUGUCGGGCUUGGGAAGAGGAAGCGGCGGAGGAGAGAGAGGAAGCAGAAGCGGGGCCACAGGUCUGGCCUUCUGCUGAAGCUAAAGACCAAUCCACACAAGCCACCUCUACCGAGCCUGUACCUCACCAAUGCCAGAUCCAUCACACACAAAACGGACGACCUGGAAUUACAACUUGCGGGUGAUAACUCCACUGUAGUGUAGCCAUACACUAAUCCCCUACUUGGUGGUGGUUCUUCCCAGAGAGUUCUUCGAGACAAUGGCCAAGAAUUUCAAACUAUUAGACCCCCGGCAGGGAGGGCCAAGUAUGACUGUUACAUCAAUUAACCAGACAGACUGGAACCUAUGUGUGUUGUGUCAGAUGGACACCACUGAACCUCUUCAUUGUCCAGCUGACUCCAAGCGAAGCACAGGAGGAUCUGGAUACCAGACUCUUGCAGACAACCUUCUCAGGUUCAGUGAGAUCAACUGCCUCCCAAAAUCUCUCGACAUGUCCCGCUUAGACGAUGGUGAGGGUAUUGAGUCCACCUUCCAGCACCACAGGGCUAAGUGGCAUGAUUCGUGCAGAUUACAAUACAACAAAACUCAAUUGACUCGGGCAGAGAAGAGGAAAACAACAACCAGUGGCGAUACCGAAGGCGUGACACCAAAGUUUACCCGUCAGAGUGUGGACCGCUCAGAGACACUGCUCGAAACGUGUUUCUUUUGUGACAAGCCAGCAGGUAACGAGUCUCUGCGCAAAGCUUCUACCUUUGACCUGGACAGACGGGUCAGGAAAUGUGCUCUGAAACUAGAAGACAAGUCACUUAUUGCUAAACUGAGUGCUGGAGAUAUGAUGGCGCAAGAUGCCCUGUACCAUGUGAAGUGUCUGGUUUCCCUCUAUAACAAAGCAAGGGACACAAAGAGAACUUUGGAUGACCAGGAUGAUAUCAAUGAUGGCAUAGCUCUCGGAGAACUGGUGUCCUACAUCGAUGAUGCCCGCAUAGGCUCUCAUGUGGCACCAGUGUUCAAGCUGGCAGAUCUAACAAGUUUGUACAGCAACCGGCUGAAACAGCUUGGAACAGUCUUGCCUGGACGUGUCCACUCGACCAAACUCAAGUACCGGAUCAUGGCAUAUUUUCUGGACAUGGAGGAGCACAAACCUGGCCAAGAUGUUCUGCUUGCUUUCAACAAGGACAUCGAAUCAGCCCUUCACAAGGCCUGUGAACACGAUGCUGAUAGUGAUGGUGUUCAUCUUGCUAGAGCCGCGAACAUAGUCCGAAGAGAUAUUUUGAAGAUGAAGACAGCUUUCAGUGGUUCAUUUGACGCCCUCCGUCAAGAACAAUCCGUGCCAAGUUCUCUCCUGGCACUAGUUGCUAUGAUCCUGAAUGGUCCUACGAUCCAAGAGCAGUCAGGCCACUCAUCUGCAUCAACACCGACUCUUACAAUCUCACAGCUCCUCAUGUUCAACAGCUACGCAUGCCGCCGACAGAGUACGAGUAUUGAGUCUAUCACGCACGGCCACAAUCGGGAGACCCCCUUGCCUGUGUACCUGGGAAUGCUGAUGCACACAAAGACUCGCAAACGAGACCUGGUUGACACUCUGUUCCACUUGGGUCUCUCCGUCUCCUAUGAUAGGGUGCUAAGCAUCUCCACGGACUUGGGGAACAAUAGCAGCUGGACGUCUGGACAUUGAUGAGCUCUGGGUUGCCUUUGGCACAGGAAAGAACUUCAGGUUCUUGGCCGCUCACGAGAUGGCUGUGGCACUGGGACCUAACAAGUGUCGAGGGUUGCCAUUCUUCCAUGCCCUCACUGGAUGUGACACCAUUUCAAGCUUCGGAGGCAGGGGGAAGAAAAAAGCAUGGGAAACCUGGAAAGCCUGUGAUGAGGUCACUGAUGUCACUGCAGCAUUCUGUGCCUUGGCUGCCUCGCCAACUCCUUCAGCCAUAGAUGACCACAUGGAUGCACUGGAGCGUUUUGUUGUUUUGCUCUAUGAUCGCACCAGUAGUCAGGAACAUGUCAAUGAGUGUCGCAAGCACCUGUUCACCCAGACUGGCAGAUCAAUAGAUGCUCUCCCCCCAACUCGAGAAGCCCUGAAACAGCACAUCAAGAGAGCUGCUUACCAAGCCGACUACUGUUGAGGCCAGAUGAUGGUGUCCACACCAGAGCUCCCAUCCCCCAGUGACUGGGGGUGGGUUCACACCGAUAAUGGCUGGGACAUAUACUGGACAACCCUCCCAGAGGCAACUGAGGCAUGUCGGCAACUUCUAAGGUGUGGCUGCAGAAAGGGAUGCAGAGGACAGUGCAAGUGUGCCAAGGCUGCACUCCAGUGCACAGCUCUAUGUCACUGUGGUGGGGAAUGUAUGAGAGAGUAGAACCAUGUGUUGGGACAAGAGAGAUCACAGAUGCUAAUUACAUGUAUGUUAACAUGUACACAUGCAUCUAUGCAUAUAGUAAAUUUUGUUACCUGGAUCUAGAGGUUCCACUGUAUAAUUUUGACUAUGUAAGUUGAUGUUAGGUAAUUUGCUGUCUCUUAUUUGCU
ensembl:lncRNA